AUAGAAGUUGAUAACCAAACACCAACCUCUUUUCUCUUCCCACUCCGCUCUUCCCGCCAUGGACGCUGCAUCGCCAUUUGAUAUCCUGGUCUGGAGCAGCCAGCAGGAGAGAGUCUGGCCGAGGGUGUGUGAAGGUGGUGGCUGAUGGGGCAGAGAAGACCUGCUGGUGAUGCCUGGGUCCGGAGCAACCAACAUGAGAGUCUGGCUGAGGGUGUGUGAAGUUGGUGGCUGAGAAGACCUGCUGGUGACACUUGGUUGACUGGGCAAGGCAAGAGAUGACCUCCACCAUUACAAUCAGUGCUGCUAUUACUAUCAACAGCUGCUCUUCUUUGCUGGUACAGACACCUUACGUGGCUGAAAGACUCCCCACACUGCAGCUUGUCUCCAGUCCACACCAGUUUCCAGCACUACCACACCUGUCCAGUGGUGGUGAAGAUGUGUUGUGGAGUGUGCAGGUACAGGUGUGUUGUUAGCAGCCCUGCAUGGCUGUGUUACCUGUGUGGGGUCCAGAUGUGCCAUGAUAACACACCUUCACUGCACACCUGUUUUAUGUGUGGGUCUGUAAGUGAAGGAGGAGGUGAUGAAGCAUGGAGGGAAAGGAGUAGGAAGAUGAAGAAGAGGUGAUAAUAGAAUUGUUGAUUGAUAAUGAAAUUUAAGAGGAAAAGGUAGGAAGAAGAGAUGGAAUGAAUUGUCAUGAAUAGAAAGAGGAAGAAAGUGUAAAUGAAGAUGAGGUGGGGAGGAGAGGAAGAACAUUUAGAUUACAGUAUAAACUUGUGAUAAAAUGUAACAGGAUUAAAGAUUGAGAGAGGAAGAAUAUAAAAAAUGAAAGUGUUAAACAAAAGAUUAUAAUGGAAGAGGAGAAAGAUGGAACAAAAAAUUAUAAUGGAAGAAGAGAAAGAUGGAGAGGGAAAGCAAACCUACAUUUCUCCAAACUGUGUUGGGAAAGUUACCUCAACCUUUCUAAGUUCACCUGUGUAUGUAGGAGGGAAGGUCACGUUUUCAGUAGAGUUUAUUUGUAAGAUGGACAACUGUGUAAAACCUUAAAUGUUUCAAAUACAUGUUCCUUAUGAAUGAA